UACGUAGGGAGCGAGCGUUGUCCGGAAUUAUUGGGUGUAAAGGGUGCGUAGGCGGCUAUGUAAGUCAGGCGUGUAAUUCAGAGGCUUAACCUCUUGACGGCGCUUGAAACUGUGUAGCUUGAGUGGAGUAGAGGCAGAUGGAAUUUCCAGUGUAGCGGUGAAAUGCGUAGAUAUUGGAAGGAACAUCGGUGGCGAAGGCGAUCUGCUGGGCUCUAACUGACGCUGAGGCACGAAAGCAUGGGGAGCAAACAGGAUUAGAUACCCUGGUAGUCCAUGCCGUAAACGAUGAUUACUAGGUGUGGGGGGACUGACCCCUUCCGUGCCGGAGUUAACACAAUAAGUAAUCCACCUGGGAAGUACGAUCGCAAGGUUGAA
rnacentral:rRNA from 1 species